rfam:Oryza barthii chromosome 9, whole genome shotgun sequence.
GCUACACCAGGUCAUUUGCAACUAGGUAAAUUUUGAUCGUCCAUCUUAUUUAAAAUUUAUUUAUGAUUAGUAUUUUUAUUGUUAUUAGAUGAUAAAACAUGAAUAGUAUUUUAUGUGUGACUUAUGUUUUUUAUUUUUUUAAAAAAGUAAUUAAAUAAGACGGAUGAUUAAAGUUGGACGCUGAUACGUAAACUGAGG